AGGCGCGUAGCUCAGCGGGAGAGCACUUCCUUGACGUGGAAGGGGUCGACGGUUCAAUCCCGUCCGUGCCUACCA
rnacentral:tRNA from 1 species